UGCAGUCGAACGGCAGCACGGGUGCUUGCACCUGGUGGCGAGUGGCGAACGGGAGAGUAAUACAUCGGAACAUGUCCUGUAGUGGGGGAUAGCCCGGCGAAAGCCGGAUUAAUACCGCAUACGAUCUACGGAUGAAAGCGGGGGACCUUCGGGCCUCGCGCUAUAGGGUUGGCCGAUGGCUGAUUAGCUAGUUGGUGGGGUAAAGGCCUACCAAGGCGACGAUCAGUAGCUGGUCUGAGAGGACGACCAGCCACACUGGGACUGAGACACGGCCCAGACUCCUACGGGAGGCAGCAGUGGGGAAUUUUGGACAAUGGGCGAAAGCCUGAUCCAGCAAUGCCGCGUGUGUGAAGAAGGCCUUCGGGUUGUAAAGCACUUUUGUCCGGAAAGAAAUCCUUGGCUCUAAUACAGUCSGGGGAUGACGGUACCGGAAGAAUAAGCACCGGCUAACUACGUGCCAGCAGCCGCGGUAAUACGUAGGGUGCGAGCGUUAAUCGGAAUUACUGGGCGUAAAGCGUGCGCAGGCGGUUUGCUAAGACCGAUGUGAAAUCCCCGGGCUCAACCUGGGAACUGCAUUGGUGACUGGCAGGCUAGAGUAUGGCAGAGGGGGGUAGAAUUCCACGUGUAGCAGUGAAUGCGUAGAGAUGUGGAGGAAUACCGAUGGCGAAGGCAGCCCCCUGGGCCAAUACUGACGCUCAUGCACGAAAAGCGUGGGGGAGCAAACAGGAUUAGAUACCCUGGUAGUCCACGCCCUAAACGAUGUCAACUAGUUGUUGGGGGAUUCAUUUCCUUAGUAACGUAGCUAACGCGUGAAGUUGACCGCCUGGGGAGUACGGUCGCAAGAUUAAAACUCAAAGGAAUUGACGGGGACCCGCACAAGCGGUGGAUGAUGUGGAUUAAUUCGAUGCAACGCGAAAAACCUUACCUACCCUUGACAUGGUCGGAAUCCCGCUGAGAGGUGGGAGUGCUCGAAAGAGAACCGGCGCACAGGUGCUGCAUGGCUGUCGUCAGCUCGUGUCGUGAGAUGUUGGGUUAAGUCCCGCAACGAGCGCAACCCUUGUCCUUAGUUGCUACGCAAGAGCACUCUAAGGAGACUGCCGGUGACAAACCGGAGGAAGGUGGGGAUGACGUCAAGUCCUCAUGGCCCUUAUGGGUAGGGCUUCACACGUCAUACAAUGGUCGGAACAGAGGGUUGCCAACCCGCGAGGGGGAGCUAAUCCCAGAAAACCGAUCGUAGUCCGGAUUGCACUCUGCAACUCGAGUGCAUGAAGCUGGAAUCGCUAGUAAUCGCGGAUCAGCAUGCCCGGUGAAUACGUUCCCGGGUCUUGUACACACCGCCCGUCUCACCAUGGGAGUGGGUUUUACCAGAAGUGGAUAGUCUAACCGCAAGGAGGACGUC
rnacentral:rRNA from 1 species